UACGUAGGGGGCAAGCGUUGUCCGGAUUUAUUGGGCGUAAAGAGCGUGUAGGCGGCCAAGCAGGUCCGCUGUGAAAACUCGAGGCUCAACCUCGAGACGUCGGUGGAAACCGUUUGGCUAGAGUCCGGAAGAGGAGAGUGGAAUUCCAGGUGUAGCGGUGAAAUGCGUAGAUAUCUGGAGGAACACCGGUGGCGAAGGCGGCAUCCUGGACCGGUAUUGACGCUGAGGCGCGAAAGCCAGGGGAGCAAACGGG
rnacentral:rRNA from 1 species